rnacentral:sRNA from 2 species
UCGCCAUCCAUUGGGGAGUAGCCUGCUUCCGCAUCGCGCGGAAGUUCCCGUAUCAACAUACUCGGCGCCAUCCAUCCGGCGCCGUGGUACGGGCAGCCGUCCGGUUGGCAAGACCUUUGGCAUGCCUGCGUGCGAGUUCGGGCCGCGCGGGCUUGCCUUCGCGUAUGCCCGACGGAACGAUCCC